AUUCCAGCUCCAAUAGCGUAUAUUAAAGUUGUUGCAGUUAAAAAGCUCGUAGUUGGAUUUCUGUUCUCGAGGAUCGGUCCGCCUCACGGUGAGCACUGGUUUUUCUUGGGGACAUCCUCUCGAAGGCGGGUGGUGCACUUAAUUGUGUGCUGCUUGGAUUCGGGACCUUUACUUUGAAAAAAUUAGAGUGUUCAAAGCAGGCGUCGGCUUGAAUACAUUAGCAUGGAAUAAUGGAAUAGGACUUUGGUUCUAUUUUGUUGGUCUCUAGGACCGAAGUAAUGAUUAAUAGGGACAGUCGGGGGCAUUUGUAUUCAAGCGACAGAGGUGAAAUUCUUGGACCGUUUGAAGACAAACUACUGCGAAAGCAUUUGCCAAGAAUGUUUUCAUUA
rnacentral:rRNA from 1 species